rnacentral:rRNA from 1 species
GAUGAACGCUGGCGGCGUGCCUAAUACAUGCAAGUCGAGCGAAGCGGGGACGGGUGAGUAACACGUGGAUAACCUCCUAUAAGACUGGUCUAACUUAGGGACACCCGAGCUAAACCGGAUACUUCUUGAUCGAUCCGCGCUGCAUUAGCGAGUUGGUAAGGUAACGGCUUACAAAGGCAACGAUGCAUACCCGACCGUAGAGGGUGAGCGGCAACAAGGGAACUGAGACACGGUCCAGACUCCUACGGGAGGCAGCAGGAGGGAAUCUUCCGCAAUGGGCGAAAGCCUGACGGAGCAACGCCGCGUGAGUGAUGAAGGUCUUCGGAUCGUAAAACUCUGUUAUUAGGGAAGCGGUACCUACUCAGAAAGCCACGGCUAACUACGUGCCAGCAGCCGCGGUAAUAC